rnacentral:rRNA from 1 species
AUUGAACGCUGGCGGCAGGCUUAACACAUGCAAGUCGAACGAUGACUCUCUAGCUUGCUAGAGAAGAUUAGUGGCGGACGGGUGAGUAACAUUUAGGAAUCUGCCUAGUAGUGGGGGAUAGCUCGGGGAAACUCGAAUUAAUACCGCAUACGACCUACGGGUGAAAGGGGGCGCAAGCUCUUGCUAUUAGAUGAGCCUAAAUCAGAUUAGCUAGUUGGUGGGGUAAAGGCCUACCAAGGCGACGAUCUGUAACUGGUCUGAGAGGAUGAUCAGUCACACCGGAACUGAGACACGGUCCGGACUCCUACGGGAGGCAGCAGUGGGGAAUAUUGGACAAUGGGGGCAACCCUGAUCCAGCCAUGCCGCGUGUGUGAAGAAGGCCUUUUGGUUGUAAAGCACUUUAAGCAGGGAGGAGAGGCUAAUGGUUAAUACCCAUUAGAUUAGACGUUACCUGCAGAAUAAGCACCGGCUAACUCUGUGCCAGCAGCCGCGGUAAUACAGAGGGUGCGAGCGUUAAUCGGAAUUACUGGGCGUAAAGCGAGUGUAGGUGGCUCAUUAAGUCACAUGUGAAAUCCCCGGGCUUAACCUGGGAACUGCAUGUGAUACUGGUGGUGCUAGAAUAUGUGAGAGGGAAGUAGAAUUCCAGGUGUAGCGGUGAAAUGCGUAGAGAUCUGGAGGAAUACCGAUGGCGAAGGCAGCUUCCUGGCAUAAUAUUGACACUGAGAUUCGAAAGCGUGGGUAGCAAACAGGAUUAGAUACCCUGGUAGUCCACGCCGUAAACGAUGUCUACUAGCCGUUGGGGUCCUUGAGACUUUAGUGGCGCAGUUAACGCGAUAAGUAGACCGCCUGGGGAGUACGGCCGCAAGGUUAAAACUCAAAUGAAUUGACGGGGGCCCGCACAAGCGGUGGAGCAUGUGGUUUAAUUCGAUGCAACGCGAAGAACCUUACCUGGUCUUGACAUAGUGAGAAUCCUGCAGAGAUGCAGGAGUGCCUUCGGGAAUUCACAUACAGGUGCUGCAUGGCUGUCGUCAGCUCGUGUCGUGAGAUGUUGGGUUAAGUCCCGCAACGAGCGCAACCCUUUUCCUUAUUUGCCAGCGGGUUAAGCCGGGAACUUUAAGGAUACUGCCAGUGACAAACUGGAGGAAGGCGGGGACGACGUCAAGUCAUCAUGGCCCUUACGACCAGGGCUACACACGUGCUACAAUGGUAGGUGCAGAGGGUUGCUACACAGCGAUGUGAUGCUAAUCUCAAAAAGCCUAUCGUAGUCCGGAUUGGAGUCUGCAACUCGACUCCAUGAAGUCGGAAUCGCUAGUAAUCGCAGAUCAGAAUGCUGCGGUGAAUACGUUCCCGGGCCU